rnacentral:piRNA from 1 species
GGGACUCAGCAGUGAUAAAAAUU